GGGUGAGUAACACGUAUCCAACCUGCCUCAUACUCGGGGAUAGCCUUUCGAAAGAAAGAUUAAUAUCCGAUAGCAUAUAUUUCCCGCAUGGGUUUUAUAUUAAAGAAAUUCGGUAUGAGAUGGGGAUGCGUUCCAUUAGUUUGUUGGCGGGGUAACGGCCCACCAAGACUACGAUGGAUAGGGGUUCUGAGAGGAAGGUCCCCCACAUUGGAACUGAGACACGGUCCAAACUCCUACGGGAGGCAGCAGUGAGGAAUAUUGGUCAAUGGACGCGAGUCUGAACCAGCCAAGUAGCGUGAAGGAUGACUGCCCUAUGGGUUGUAAACUUCUUUUAUAUGGGAAUAAAGUGGUCCACGUGUGGAUUUUUGUAUGUACCAUAUGAAUAAGGAUCGGCUAACUCCGUGCCAGCAGCCGCGGUAAUACGGAGGAUCCGAGCGUUAUCCGGAUUUAUUGGGUUUAAAGGGAGCGUAGGCGGAUUGUUAAGUCAGUUGUGAAAGUUUGCGGCUCAACCGUAAAAUUGCAGUUGAUACUGGCAGUCUUGAGUGCAGUAGAGGUGGGCGGAAUUCGUGGUGUAGCGGUGAAAUGCUUAGAUAUCACGAAGAACUCCGAUUGCGAAGGCAGCUCACUGGAGUGUAACUGA
rnacentral:rRNA from 1 species